rnacentral:rRNA from 1 species
GGCGAACGGGUGAGAAACGUGGGUGAGCUCUUGCCUUCGGGUAAGCCGGGAAAUGGGCUAAUACCGGAUAGUAUGCGCGGUGAUGCCGUGUGGUGGAAAGAUUAUCGGUGCAGGAUGGGCCGCGGCCUAUCAGCUUGUUGGUGGGGUAAUGGCCUACCAAGGCGACGACGGGUAGCCGGCCUGAGAGGGCGACCGGCCACACUGGGACUGAGACACGGCCCAGACUCCUACGGGAGGCAGCAGUGGGGAAUAUUGCACAAUGGGCGCAAGCCUGAUGCAGCGACGCCGCGUGAGGGAUGACGGCCUUCGGGUUGUAAACCUCUUUCAGCAGGGACGAAGCGCAAGUGACGGUACCUGCAGAAGAAGCACCGGCCAACUACCGUG